UGGAGUGGGUUUUUUUUAUUAUUAUCAAUUUACUGCGUUGCCACUGUAAUAAAUCAGUGUGGACUUACUGGUAGUGGUAAGUUUCUAAUCUGCUGGGGCCCGCUUUUGGAGCUUCCAUUUUAUUACAGUGUCUUUUUAACGAAAAGAAAGUCGUCCAUAAAACAAUCACUCACCUCGCACAGCAGUCACAGUCAAACUCUUUGCUAAAUCGAUCGCAGAUCCCACUCUAUGCCAAACCCAUGGUGUUUCAGGGCGUUGAGUGUCGGACCGGUGCCAACUCCAUCUCCUAUGCGCGUUGAUGAGGGCGGUUUUUCUCGCCUCUAUACAGUCUUUCUGCCUUCUGUUGCUUUCGCUAUUGUUUUCGCGCGCCUUCCGCCUCCGGUGGAGUUACUAGCAGCGUGGUCCUGGACGGUUGCGUUGAUUGUCGUGAUCGCUUGAGUCUGUCGGAGUUUUCGCUUUUCGUGUUCUUUUUAUUUUUGGCUCCUGGCAGCUGGAUCGUUUCGUUGUUGUUAACGGCUAUGCCGUGGUUUGGUGGUUUUAUUGGUAACUGGUUCAAUGGUUGUGUUUUGUUUUUUUUUUUGAGUGGGUGGUGAGAACUGCAAGGGGAGAUGGGUUGCGGUGGUGGUCCGUGGGUUUUCGCUUUGUUGAGUACAGAGGCAUUAAUCUUCUAUUACAAAGAAAAAAUAGCAACCACGCCCUGGAGGAAGGGAGAGACAGAAGGAGAUUAAAAUUGUCGACCUUGACCGACUAUGGAAAGGAGCAGGACAUGGGAAUCGAAACAUUGCAAGCCAUGCUUAUGGAUGAUGAAUUUAGAGGUUAGGUUGGCUGGCUAGCCUGGCUGUUCGAUCAUCAUGGUGCUGUGUUUUUUUUCUCUUCCCUGGAGUUUGGUCAUGUUCUUAUGCUCUGCUCCUUUAGUUGUGCUGUUUUGGAUUCUUACCUCGAUCAGUUUUAUUUUCAGUGGAGAAAAAGGUGAACAGGAAGCUGUGAAUUCUAUCUAGAUCUAUAUAUGCUUUGCUGUGUAUGCUUAAUCUCCCUAAAUUAUUAUUUUAUCUGCUAAAGUUUGCCAUGGAAAUCGAUUCCGACAUGGCAUCAUAAUUGAUAGCAGCCAGCAAUACUUUGACCUCUAACACGUUUUAUUUUCUAACAAAAUCGAUAAUUUUGUCAUUUAAGUUGAAAAGUUUCAAUCUUUUUUAAUUGGUUAAGCUGUCAUCGUGAUUGCCUUAUAAUUAUGUUCCCUAUAAGCCUUCAGGCUAUUCUGUGGCUAUUUUUUUUUGCCAACGGAAAAGAUAGCAAACGUGAUCUGUGGCUGCUGUUGCACUGGGGCAUCCAUUCCUUUUCUUUUCUUUCUGAGAUUUAGUUGGUUGAUGGGGAUUGCAGGUGCAGGCACUUCUUCUAUGUUCAAGAUAGAUCACAACUUUUUUGCCCCCAGGAACUAUCUUCCCUUGCUCCUGUCAUUUAUCACUAUGAAUGACCUUAACUAUCUUUUGCAGGGAAACUGAAGCUGCUGGAGGACUGCACUGCCACUCCAGAUCCAGAUUGUGGAUGCAGCCGUGGUCUUCAUCAACUUUUUGACAGCUACUGUUAUGGUGACGGAUCAAACCACUUCAUUUUUGUGACAAGGACCAAGUAGGUUUAUUUUGGAUCCAGACAACCUUUUGGUUUUUCUGUGUAUGAGACAUGUAAUUGCUUUAAAGGAUCUGAAGCAACUCAUAAAACUGAUAUGUUGCUUCGCUUUCCAACCUUGCUCAUGUUCUAUGAAAUAAAAAAAGCUUUUUGA